GGAAAGAUGGCCGAGCGGUUCAAGGUGUAGCAUUGGAAAUGCUAUGUAGGCUUCCUGUUUACCGAGGGUUCGAAUCCCUCUCUUUCCG
rnacentral:tRNA from 2 species